rnacentral:lncRNA from 1 species
GGCUCUUAAAUUACCAUUGAUUGAAACCUCUCAGGCAGAUUUCAGAUGCCACCUUCUCCACAAGACUUGCCUAUAAAUUUCAGCUGGGAUCAUUCAUAAUUCUGUGUGUUAACUAUAUAAUUCCCUCUUUUCUUCCUGAUCUUAUGAUAUUCAGUCUUUGUGCCUCAGAUGCACUGAAGUGGGCACCAUGUAUGGGUGGUGUGAUGCUUCCCCGUGUUUCUUAUUUCUCAGCUUGUAUUUAUCUCUGCACAGCACCAAUAAUAGAAGAAGAGACCCCAAAGGUGGGUUGAGUGAAAACUCUCCAUCAGAACAGCAGUUGGUGUAUUAUAUGAAGGAUUUAACACUUGCCCCCAAUAUCUGGCAAUGCUCCUGGCUGUAAUUCAUAUUUCCUCUGUCUUGCUUGUCCACAUUGAUUUCAUUAUGUUCAUUAUUCGAAUCCAGUACUUUCACUUGAUUAUUCCAACAGUGUUUUCCUCCUCUUCUCAUUUCCAAUUGUUUUUCUUUUCUCCCCCCCCCCCCAAUAGUCUCCAUCCAUUUUCAUCUAGGAAUUUCAUUUCCCAUUUCAGAGUCUGUUUGAACUCUAUAUCAAAAUUUCAUUAGCAACUCAGCUCUGGCUUUUCCAGGUUCUCUUACAUAAUUUAGGCAUUUAAAAAACUUUUAAAACUCUAAGUUAAUAAGCGCUUGCAAUGCAUAAAAUUAUUCAGUUAAGAAAAUUAAAUCUCAUAAAUGCACAUAAUAUAGUAAUGCACUGCA